UAUAUUGAUUGUUUUCAGCCCAUAAUUUAAUAUGUUGACACAGCAAAACACAUGUUAUUCGAAUCAAGGUACAACAAGGAGUGGACCUAGCCAGACACAUUUACUUGUUUUCAUCUCCUAAAAUUAUAACUCAAUUCCGUGUCAUCGAAAUUCACACGCCAAAGAAAGCACUCCAAGGACCACAACAACAAAAGCAUAGACAAACCGAACCUGCCAUGUAAACUGUAACUGUUUCUGUCUCUCUCUGAAUAUGAGCAACCUGCUAUGUAUGACUAUCUAUAUGAUCUUGAUGAAAAAUACCAACAUAAUAAAUUUGGAGGAAGGUGAACAAACGGUUGCAGAAAGCAAACUGGUACAAAAAGAUGAAAAUGGGUACCUUUCGCAAAUUCGGAAAUCAAGAAAAAGGCUCGUGCGUUGCAACAGGAGAAAAAGAAACUUAGCAACAUCCGUAAGCAUAACUCGAGGGCCCUUAGCAGUCUUGCACGUACUAAAUAUGCAAUACUCAGCAGGGGGUAACGCUGACAGUUCCCUACUAACGCUGACAGUAAACUACAAUAUAUGAAUCCUAGAGGUCAAGGAAAUGAGCAGCUUUUUUUUCCAUGUUUACGUGCUCUGAUCGUGGUACUGCCGUUGUUGAAGGCACACAUGUGGGCCCCACUGUCGACAACCGCUAUGGGAUAAACUCUGGCCAUGUUGCAGACCCUGC
rnacentral:lncRNA from 1 species